UACGUAGGGUGCAAGCGUUGUCCGGAAUUACUGGGCGUAAAGGGCUCGUAGGCGGUUUGUCGCGUCUGCCGUGAAAGUCCGGGGCUCAACUCCGGAUCUGCGGUGGUACGGGCAGACUAGAGUGAUGUAGGGGAGACUGGAAUUCCUGGUGUAGCGGUGAAAUGCGCAGAUAUCAGGAGGAACACCGAUGGCGAAGGCAGGUCUCUGGGCAUUAACUGACGCUGAGGAGCGAAAGCAUGGGGAGCGAACAGG
rnacentral:rRNA from 1 species